GCUACCCUCUGCACAGUUCCUGUGGGGGUAGUCUUGCCGUGCCAGAGCAGUCGUCAUUGGAGCUGUAAUAGUGCCGCGCCGCCUCAGCAAAGCUGUUUUCUUCUACCUCCGGCUGGCUCUUCAGGUCUUCCUGGGGAAGCCAAGAACCUGCCCUGCAUCAGUAGGGCAGGUUCACAAUAGCCUAACUGGAAGUACCCAAAUCUCCGUCAACAGGAGAAUGCGGCCGGGCGCCGUGGCUCACGCCUGUAAUCCCAGCACUUUGGGAGCCCGAGGCGGGCGGAUCACUAGGUCAGGAGUUCAAGACCAGAGUGGCCAACAUGUUGAAACCCCGUCUCUGCUAAAGAUACAAAAAUUAGUCGGGCGUGGUGGCAUACGCCUGUAGUCCCAGCUACUUGGGAGGCUGAGGCAGGAGAAUUGCUUGAACCCGGCUGGCGGAGGUUGCAGUGAACCGAGAUUGCACCACUGCACUCCAGCCUGGGCAACAGAGCAAGAUGCUGUCUCAAACAACAACAACAACAACAAAAAAACAAAAACAGGAGAAUGCAUAAGUUGUGGUAUAUUCAUAAAAUGAAUACUAGUUAGUCAGCAAUAAGAAGGAUUAUGGAGUUUCAGUAGUUACUAAUAAACUUGAAGGCAUGAACAAAUCCCAUAGGCAUAAUAGCUGUUUUGUUUUUCAGAGGCGGUCUUGCUCUGUCGCCCAGGCUGGAGUAUGCAGUGGUGAGAUUAUAGCUCACUGCAGCCUCAGACUUCUGGGCUCAAGCGAUGGUCCCAGGAGCCUCGGCCUCCCAAAGCACUGGGAUUACAGGUUCACACCACCAUCGCCGGCCACUGUUGAAGGAAAAAUGCCAGACGCAAAGAGAAUGUGGACUCUAAGAUUCCAUUAUUUUAAGUUCAGUAACAGGCGAAACUAGCCGAUCACAUUAGAAAUAAGAGCAGUGGUGGCCUCUAGUGGGGAGGGAAAUUCAUUAAAAAGAGACAAUUUCUGCAGCGAAGGAAAGGUUCUAUAUCUUGAUUUGGAGAUUGAGCCCAUACAUACAUACUUAAGACCAGCGUAUUUUACCUUCACUAAAAUAUAAUUCUUUUGGAUUUGAAAAUUUAAUAAUCAACUAAACACAUUUGGACAUGGACACGUCCAUUCUGUCCCAAUUUAUUGAGCUCAUCCUGUGUGUGGCUAUCAUUGAAUCCUCCCAACACCUCCUUAAGUGGGUACUAUUACUAUUCCCAUUGUUUAGAUGAGAAAACACAAAUGCAAAAUACCUGAGCUACACUUGCCCAAGGUUUGCAGGAUGGGAAGGUGAAUAAGAGACUUAUUCACCUUCAGGGGUUUGUGCUCCUGAUCCCAGCGCUACCUGUUCUGGGCCCUGGGCUGACUGCUGGGAGCCUUCAUAGACCCCACAGGCCAGAGGAGGAGACAGUGUGUGGGGUGGUGAUGACCACAGGGCAUGUCUAGUCCCUGGGGGAUGGAUGGGGCAAGGUCCUAACUCCACCUGGGAGGAUGGGAGUGGGUAUGGGAGAAACUCUGUUAUGAGAGUGAGCUCAGGGCCACUGGGGGCAGGGGUAGGGGUCACCCUACAACAUGAUCUCAUAACUGAUCAGCUUAGCUUCAAAAUGCAUUUUAAAACCUUUUUUCUCCCUUUCUCCAGUCUUAGCCUUGAAACAGUCACACUUUGUUUCUCUCCCUUCCCACUAGACACUCCCUGCACUGCACUGGGCUAGUUUAUCUAAUUAUGGGCUUGCUUAGAAAUUCCAGAGAAUAGGCCAGGCGCCUCACCUGCUUGAACUUUUCACAACUCCCCCUGGCCUUCUACCACAGUGCCCAGACUUGACUGCAGCUUGGAUCCACCUGGGGAGCAUACUGAAAGUAAAGAUUCUGGCUGGGCACGGUGGCUAACGCCUGUAAUCCCAGAACUUUGGGAGGCUGGGGUGGGUGGAUCUCUAGGUCAGGAGUUCAAGACCAGCCUGGCCAACAUGGUGAAACCCUGUCUCAAACCGCAAAAAUUAGCUGGGUGCGGUGGCAGUCACCUGUAAUCCCAGCUACUUGGGAGGCUGAGGCAGGAGAAUCUCUUGAAUCUUGGUGGCAGAGGUUGCAGUGAGCCGAGAUCGCGCCACUGCACUCCAGCCUGGGCGACAGAGU
rnacentral:lncRNA from 10 species